UGGCAGCGUAGCUCAGUGGUAGAGCAGGGGACUCAUAAGCCCUUGGUCGCAGGUUCAAAUCCCGCCGCUGCCAG
rnacentral:tRNA from 1 species